rnacentral:rRNA from 1 species
CCUGGGAACUGCGUUNUGAACUGGGUGACUAGAGUGUNUCAGAGGGAGGUAGAAUUCCACGUGUAGCAGUGAAAUGCGUAGAGAUGUGGAGGAAUACCGAUGGCGAAGGCAGCCUCCUGGGAUAACACUGACGUUCAUGCUNGAAAGCGUGGGUAGCAAACAGGAUUAGAUACCCUGGUAGUCCACGCCCUAAACGAUGUCAAUUAGCUGUUGGGCAACUUGAUUGCUUAGUAGCGUAGCUAACGCGUGAAAUUGACCGCCUGGGGAGUACGGUCGCAAGAUUAAAACUCAAAGGAAUUGACGGGGACCCGCACAAGCGGUGGAUGAUGUGGAUUAAUUCGAUGCAACGCGAAGAACCUUACCUGGUCUUGACAUGUACGGAAUCCUCCAGAGACGGAGGAGUGCCUUCGGGAGCCGUAACACAGGUGCUGCAUGGCUGUCGUCAGCUCGUGUCGUGAGAUGUUGGGUUAAGUCCCGCAACGAGCGCAACCCUUGUCAUUAGUUGCCAUCAUUAAGUUGGGCACUCUAAUGAGACUGCCGGUGACAAGCCGGAGGAAGGUGGGGAUGACGUCAAGUCCUCAUGGCCCUUAUGACCAGGGCUUCACACGUCAUACAAUGGUCGGUACAGAGGGUAGCCAAGCCGCGAGGUGGAGCCAAUCUCACAAAACCGAUCGUAGUCCGGAUUGCACUCUGCAACUCGAGUGCAUGAAGUCGGAAUCGCUAGUAAUCGCAGGUCAGCAUACUGCGGUGAAUACGUUCCCGGGUCUUGUACACACCGCCCGUCACACCAUGGGAGUGGGGGAUACCAGAAGUAGGUAGGGUAACCGCAAGGAGCCCGCUUACCACGGUAUG